AGGCAAUUAGUUUAAUUAAAACACUUGAUUUCGGCUCAAGAGCUUACGGUUAAAGUCCGCAAUUGACCUG
rnacentral:tRNA from 1 species